UACUGUUCGUCAAAGUUGCAAGAUUAAGCAAAAGUGUGUAAUCUCGUCCGUGCAUAAAUUAUCAAAACCAAUGGGUAUUUAUAACUGGUUUGUUCGUUUUCGGAAAAUAAGGAUGUUAUGAAAUUGUUAUCAUUGUCACGUGACUUGGAUGCACUUUGAUAAUAAAUAUAUUUUUAGCGCAAGUAAAUAGGUUAUAUCACACAAAGUUUAAACUGAAAUACAGUUGUUAUACAUAGUUUCGUUGUCUGAUACAGACAAAAAGUGCUAACAUUCGUUAAAGAAAAGGAAAAAUAAAAAUAACAGGGAGAAUGAAGAUAUACUGUUUGAGAUGUAGAAUCAAGACAGAGACUUUGUAUGAACAUCUUGUCAAAAUGGCGAACGGUAGAACAAGUGUUCGAGGGAUAUGUGCACAUUGUGGUACACAGAAGCAUCAGAUUGUUGGCUAGCCAUUUCCGGUCUGCCAAGGAAACAUUUAUUAUUAUUUUUAUAAAAUGAACGAACCAUUUUAUCAACUUAUAAUAUUUUUAUUGUUCAACAAAUUCGCCGAGAAGAUGCAUCACGUGAUUAGCUUACAAACAAAUCAAAUAUUAUUUCACUAAUGAAAAUGUUCAGUAAUUCUGGUCAUAAGGAGAUCAAUGCAAAACUUGUGUUCAAUAUUGUUUAAAUUUAUACAUGUCAAUUAUUAAUUUACAUUAACUCUUGCAGAAAAUCUGAAUAAAACUACAGUAUCAUCGUA